UACGGAGGGUGCGAGCGUUGUCCGGAAUCAUUGGGCGUAAAGGGCGCGUAGGUGGCCCGGUCAGUUCGUGGUGAAAGCGCGGGGCUCAACCCUGCGUCGGCCAUGAAUACUGCCGCGGCUGGAGCACUGUAGAGGCAGGCGGAAUCCGGGUGAGCGGUGGAAUGGCGUAGAGGAUCCGGAAGAACACCGGUGGCGAAGGCGGCCUG
rnacentral:rRNA from 1 species